rnacentral:tRNA from 2 species
GCGAGCGUAGUUCAAUGGUAAAACAUCUCCUUGCCAAGGAGAGGAUACGGGUUCGAUUCCCGUCGCUCGCC